rnacentral:RNase_P_RNA from 1 species
CGUAGGUGGUUGCGGAGACUUAAAAAAUCUCUGAGGAAAGUCCGGGCUUCCACAGAAUCAAACUGCUGGAUAAUACCCAGUGUGAGCGAUCGCGAGGAAAGUGCCACAGAAAAAUACCGCCUUGAUCAUAAUUUAUUAAGUAUUCAGGAUACUAAACCUAUUGCUAAAUAUUUAAAUCAGAUUAUGCUAAAGGUAAGGGUGCAAAGGUGUGUUAAGAGCGCACCAGCAAAGUCGAGAGGCUUUGGCUCGGUAAACCCCAGUUGGAAGCAAGGCGAGAGGAAUAAGCUAUAACUGAUUCUGGUCGGCUUUUCCGUUGU